rnacentral:ncRNA from 1 species
UGUCGGAGCUGACGUAUGUGGUUCGCUUUGCCAAGUGUCCUCCUCUCGAGAGGGUCUCACGACGUGGGCGUACGACUACGACGCUGAAGUAUGUAACUGAUGCCAUACUCCCAGGAAAAGCUCGAACGACCUUCAACAAAAGGGUACAUGUACCCGAAACUAACACAGGUGGGUAGGUAGAGAAUACCUAGGGGCGCGAGACAACUCUCUCUAAGGAACUCGGC